CUUUCCUGUGACUCCUGUGAGUUGGUAGAGCAUUGUGAUAACAACGCAAAGGUCAUGGGUUCAAAUCCCAGGGAACGG